AGCUAACAUCUGUUGCCAAUCCUCCUCUUUUUGCUUGAGGAAGAUUCACCCUGAGCUAACAUCUGUGCCAGUCUUCCUCUAUUUUGUGUGUGGGUCACUGCCACAAUGUGACUGAUGAGUGGUAUAGGUCCACAGCCAGCGUCCGAACCCGCGAACUCCAGCUGCCGAAGCAGAAUGUGCCAUACUUAACCAGUGUCCUGGGUGCUGUGGGUUUCACAUCAAGGAAUGGAAUUCUGGAGUCCUGUAUUAUGCCUGUCCAAGACUUUCUGAGAAAAAAUCUGAAAUGACUUACUGAGAUCAAAGAGUGCUGCUCAACUCCAUUGGUCUGCAGAGAAGCAAGAGUCUCUUCAUGCGCUUAAACUAACUGUAAGUAUCUCUCUGCCGCUAAGAUCAUGUGAUGAUACAGAGACCGUCAAUUUAUAGGCUAAAAGUGACUGAAGUUGAUGACAGUGACCACAAGGUAGCAGGGAAAUAUACCUUUGGGCUUAGAGUGGCAAAUGGCCACAUACAAAAGAACAGUACAUGAUUUGAGAAGACACUUUAGCAACAAAUUUGGCCAUAAAGGCCACUGUAUAUUUAAUCCGUGAUCUGCCAGUCACAUUGUACAGUGAUUAUCCUGGCUUGACUUUGGCCAACAAUGACUAUUUUAAGAAAGCUCAGGGAAUAGCAUAAGAGCGCAUUCACCCAAAAUGGAGAUAACAUGAAAGAUUUGAUUCUUGAAUCAGAGCCACAAAAAUCAUAAAUCUUACCCAGUUUCAAGUUUUUCUCACAUUUUCAGGGAUCAAAUUAAUUGUGUCACAAGCAGAGCAACAAGAAGUCUGAGGCCAGCGACACUAAUUGCAAGAAGCUUCUCCCCACAUUAGGACCUUCUCUGGCCCAGAUUGAACAUAUGUGGUCUCUAAGUGAUGUUUGAGGUCAUCACUUACACAAAAUGGAGCUGUGUUUGGUCAUCUUCUAUGCCAAUACCUACAUAAUCAGUGUGAUAGUUUCCAGGCCACGUAAGUCCACAGAUUCCAGGUUUGAUUCCCUCUGUAGUUCUACACAGACCAGAUGCAUCCCACUGAAAGCAUUCCAUAGAUAAGGACCUCCCAGUAGUAACUAUCAUUAGUGUUUUUGCCAGGAGGUUCUUCACUAAUUGUUUACAAGGAAAAUGGACUGGGAUACCUUUCUUUCUUUCCAGGGCAUCCGCCACUGAAGGGAA